UACGUAGGGUGCGAGCGUUGUCCGGAAUUAUUGGGCGUAAAGAGCUUGUAGGCGGUUUGUCGCGUCUGCCGUGAAAUUUCGAGGCUCAACCUCGAACUUGCGGUGGGUACGGGCAGACUAGAGUGUGGUAGGGGAGACUGGAAUUCCUGGUGUAGCGGUGGAAUGCGCAGAUAUCAGGAGGAACACCGAUGGCGAAGGCAGAUCUCUGGGCCGUAACUGACGCUGAGGAGCGAAAGCAUGGGGAGCGAACAGG
rnacentral:rRNA from 1 species